AAAGGGCCAGCAGAGCACAGCUUUGCUUCUCCUGUUACCCUGUGCAAAACAUCUCCUGGGAGCAUCAUUUCUGGUGACUCCAUCCUGUGGAGCAGCAGCAAAACAAGCACCUACGUGCCUGCCAGAAGGUGCAAGUCAGCCAGGACCAGGAAGAAAAAGGGGGUGAGGGGAUGUGUGUCUGUGAGAUGGAGACAAAAGUUUCAGUUGUUUCAAUCCCAGGAAGAGGAAGAAAAGAAAGUAUGCUGGAGGAAAUGAAGGAGAAAUGGAUAAGCACAACCUGAAAAAGCAUUUAAUUUUUUCAUCGCUACCUAAAAAGCAGAAAAUGGCUUUAAAGUAACUUUUAUGAUAUGGAAGUCAUUUAAAGUAAUUGUUUUUAAAAUUCCUACCAGGUCAAGCAAUUGUUUCUGUGUCUGUCAUGCAAGUGAAUGAGUAACAAUGAGAUGGUAAAAACUG